rnacentral:sRNA from 1 species
GCUAGGUGUGGUAGUGCAUGCCUGUAAUCCCAGUGACUCAGGAGGCUGAGGUUGGAGGAUCUUAAAUUCAAGGGCAGCCUGGGCAACUUGGCCCUCAACAAUUUAGAUCCUUUU